CCUAUCCGAGCACCGUAGGCGCCAGGCCGAGCGCCGACUCGCCGCGCCGACCUGGGAGGAUCGCGACCUCGUCUUCUGCACUGCCUAGGGCCGGCCGCUCAACCCGGCUAACGUUUACCGAAACUACCUCGCACUGAUUGCCAGGGCUGGCGUCCCGCGCACGACGCUCCACGGGCAGCGACACAACCACGCGACGUG
rnacentral:misc_RNA from 1 species